rnacentral:misc_RNA from 1 species
GCCCAAGCCGGUGGCCUAACCUUCGGGAAGGAGCCGUCUAAGGCAGGGCAGAUGACUGGGGUGAAGUCGUAACAAGGUAGCCGUAGGAGAACCUGCGGCUGGAUCACCUCCUUUCUAAGGAAGCGAAGGAUAUGGAGAGCAGGAAUGCUAAGAGAAGUAUCCAGAGCAAGCGGAAGCACACUGAGAAACUUUGUUUAGUUUUGAGAGG